AAGGAAGAAAAAGCUUGGUUUUGUAAUUCAAGCAAGCUAAGCUAUGGUGGCCAUGGGUGUGAGGGAAUUAUGAAUUUUAUUGGGUGAAAUCCAAGCUAAAACCAAGUGGAAGUUCAAAGGUAAAGUUAGAGUACUGUGGUGGUGUGUCCGGGGAAAUAACGAGCGACCGACAAGUAGGAAUAGCUAGAUACACCUCCGAACAAAUAGCGAUGUAAUGUCCCGCUAUCGUAAGGUGAG